rnacentral:tRNA from 1 species
CAAGGAGUAGUUUAAUUAGAAUUUCAGCUUUGGGUGCUGAGGGUGGGGCUUUGUGGCCUUCUUCUUGA